rnacentral:lncRNA from 1 species
UCCAAACCUUUCCAACAUGCAUCAAACCUAUUCUACAACACACAAACACCAGCAUACAUGUUCCUAGGGGCCUCAAACCAUCAUAAACCCCAUCUACAACAUAUCAAGCAUCCACAUUGCUCAAGAACAUACAUUUAUACCCAUAAACAUAACCAUAACCUAAACAUGCAUUCUACCCCAUAGAUCUACUUAAAACUUACUUUAAACAUGCAAUGAGCUUAAGAUCGGCUCUUACCUCUUGAAGAUCGAGAGAGAGACGACCUAAACUC